rnacentral:tRNA from 1 species
UCCUUGUGGUCCAGUGGUUAGGACUCAGCGCUUUCACUGCUGAGGGCACAGGUUUAAUCCCUGGUCAGGGA